UACGGAGGGUGCGAGCGUUGUCCGGAAUCACUGGGCGUAAAGGGCGCGUAGGCGGCCGUGUAAGUCACUUGUGAAAUCCCGGGGCUCAACUCCGGGGCUGCAGGUGAGACUGCAUGGCUAGAGCUUGGUAGAGGCGAGUGGAAUUCCCGGUGUAGUGGUGGAAUGCGUAGAUAUCGGGAGGAACACCAGUGGCGAAGGCGGUUGCCUGGAGCUUUGCUGACGCUGAGGCGCGAAAGCGUGGGGAGCGAUCCGG
rnacentral:rRNA from 1 species